rnacentral:rRNA from 1 species
UACGAAGGGGGCUAGCGUUGCUCGGAAUCACUGGGCGUAAAGGGCGCGUAGGCGGCCUGAUCAGUCGGGGGUGAAAUCCUGGAGCUCAACUCCAGAACUGCCUUCGAUACUGGCGAUCUCGAGUUCGGGAGAGGUGAGUGGAACUGCGAGUGUAGAGGUGAAAUUCGUAGAUAUUCGCAAGAACACCAGUGGCGAAGGCGGCUCACUGGCCCGAUACUGACGCUGAGGAGCGAAAGCGUGGGGAGCGAACAGG